AAACUGCGAUAAGUAGUGUGAAUUGCAUUUAGUGAAUCAUCGAAUCUUUGAACGCACCUUGCACUCACUGGUAUUCCGGUGAGUACGCCUGUUUCAGUAUCAUUGAAAACACACAAUCAAAACAUUUUCUUUGGUUUGAUUGGCUUUGGGUCUAUCAAAAAGUUUGGCUUGUUUCUUACAAGCCAAGCGGCCUGAAAUAUAUUGUCUGGCUAAUUGCAUCGUUGAUGAUCGCUAUUAGACUUUGGCUUUUUUAAAUGAACUGGAGGUUGAUUAACCAGUUUUAGCUUUAGUCAAAUGGUCAUUGUAAAAAAAAUCUCGAUCUUGGCUAGGUGUGUAUAGCCGAAAAUUUUUUUUUGGCUAUAACCGAAACCAAUAUAAUCACAUUUAGUUAUCGAUCUGAAAUCAGGUGGGACUACCCGCUGAACUUAAGC
rnacentral:misc_RNA from 1 species